AUGAUGAUACGGGGAGAGAACGUGAUGUCACGUCGCCGAAGGAGCAAAUAGCUAAGCUAUGAAUCUCUCAGGCAAAAAGACUCGUAUUGGACG
rfam:Solibacillus silvestris StLB046 DNA, complete genome.